rnacentral:rRNA from 1 species
AGUGAACGCUGGCGGUAGGCCUAACACAUGCAAGUCGAACGGCAGCACAGUAAGAGCUUGCUCUUACGGGUGGCGAGUGGCGGACGGGUGAGGAAUACAUCGGAAUCUACUUUUUCGUGGGGGAUAACGUAGGGAAACUUACGCUAAUACCGCAUACGACCUACGGGUGAAAACAGGGGAUCUUCGGACCUUGCGCGAUUGAAUGAGCCGAUGUCGGAUUAGCUAGUUGGCGGGGUAAAGGCCCACCAAGGCGACGAUCCGUAGCUGGUCUGAGAGGAUGAUCAGCCACACUGGAACUGAGACACGGUCCAGACUCCUACGGGAGGCAGCAGUGGGGAAUAUUGGACAAUGGGCGCAAGCCUGAUCCAGCCAUACCGCGUGGGUGAAGAAGGCCUUCGGGUUGUAAAGCCCUUUUGUUGGGAAAGAAAAGCAGCAGGUUAAUACCCCGCUGUUCUGACGGUACCCAAAGAAUAAGCACCGGCUAACUUCGU